rnacentral:sRNA from 1 species
UUGACAACAAGGGUUGAGUGACAUAAUUUCAGGAGUGAGGGUAGAGCGGGGUUUCCCCCGCCCUGGUAGUCUUAGUAUGCUGGGUAGCUAAUGACUAAGAGCACCACGAUG